rfam:Salmo salar isolate Sally breed double haploid chromosome ssa13, whole genome shotgun sequence.
UAAGAAGAAUACUGUAAGUUGCUUUGGAUAAGAGCAUCUGCUAAAUGUCUUAAA